rnacentral:rRNA from 1 species
CUUUCCCUCUUUCUUUAGGCCUAACACAUGCAAGUCGAACGGCAGCACAGUAAGAGCUUGCUCUUACGGGUGGCGAGUGGCGGACGGGUGAGGAAUACAUCGGAAUCUACUUUUUCGUGGGGGAUCACGUAGGGAAACUUACGCUAAUACCGCAUACGCCCUACGGGUGAAGGCAGGGGAUCUUCGGACCUUGCGCGAUUGAAUGAGCCGAUGUCGGAUUAGCUGGUUGGCGGGGUAAAGGCCCACCAAGGCGGCGAUCCGCAGCUGGUCUGAGUGAAUGGUCAGCCACACUGGAGCUGAGACAGGGUCCAGACUCCUACGGGAGGCAGCAGUGGGGAAUAUUGGACAAUGGUCGCAAGCCUGAUCCAGCCAUACCGCGUGGGUUAAGACGGCCUUCGGUUUGGAAAGCCCUUUUGUUGGGAAAGAAAAGCAGCAGGUUAAUACCCAGCUGUUCUGACGGUACCCAAAGAAUAAGCACCGGCUAACUUCGUG